GACGCGGUGGCCUAAUGGUUAAUGCGCGUUGUACUCCGGAUCGAGCGGUCUGGGUUCGAGCCCUGGUCGGGCUGUGUUG
rnacentral:tRNA from 1 species